UUGUAAAUUUUCUACUUCUACUACUAUUGCGAUUAUAUAUAUUAAUUAAUCGAAACGUGCGAUCGAUAAUUUUACAGCGAUGACGACGAUCGACUUGGUUUUCGAAUUGUCUACGUUUUAACGAUGAUAUUGUUUAAUUCCGUUUUGUAAAUUUAUCCGUCAUACGUCCGUUUAUUCAUUAUAAAUUAAUUAUAUGGGGGUAGUGCGUGUUUAUUCGUUAAAAAACGCGUGCGUUGGGCGACGAUUUUACCACUAUUGCUGUGCUACACUGUUGUGCCAGGAUAACCGAGCUGUAGAUUGUUGGCUGUCAUCACUAUUGGAUUUCUGGCACAGAUGGCGUUUGUUGUGUCCGAAGGACUGCUUCAAUAACGGUUCAGUCCGUUGGCCAAGAGCGCAGUCUCUAACUGCUAACCGAUUUAUUACACAAACUGCGGGUGGCUUGGAUAGCAACAACAUUAUUAUUUUUUUUUUUUUUUUUACUCACGGUGUGUCGUUCAUUUUUGUUUAGCCCGUGCUUUUCCCUUACCGUUGGAAGAAAACCAAAAAGAUCGCAUUUCAUAUAUACUGCCAUUAUUUUGUUGUCUUCUCGGUGACAUCUAACUGCCGAACACAGCUUGGAAAACACUACUGUUGGCCUUCGGAGUUCAUCGAGAAAACGACUACAGACUUAUCCAUCGAUCGUACUUUAAAGUUAUUGUUGAAUUAUGUUUUUUUAAAUAAACUCUGUUCUAUUUUUUUUUUUCGUGCAUAAAACUAAAAAAAAAUUAAAAAUUGGAGUUUAAUUUGAAUAUAUCACUUUUUAAAUUAUUUAUUUUAUGCAUAAUUAGUAAUUAUAAUUAAAGGAACACACAACACGUGUGAAUUUUUAAAUUAAUUUUUAUGUGUCAUACAACAAUUAAAAUAACACCGGCUCUGUAAAAUCGUAUACGUUAAAUGAAUAUUGUAUAUCAAUAAAUAAUUAAUUGAAAGCCGUUUAUUUAGCUUUGGCACUGGACACUUUAUAACACUUUAAUUUGGGAAAUGUUUAGCAUACUAAUUAUUUAUAAGUGAAAAAUUUAAAUUAAACGAUAAUUAUUUUAAAAUAUUUUUUAAGUUAAAUAAUAACUCGCAAUAAUUCGGAAGUGAAAUAAAUUAUUUGAUGAUAUCUGUCUCUAUGGCAUGGUUUAAUUAUACCAUUGAAUUUCAUAUUUUCCGUUAAUUCAAAUACUUCAUUUCUAUAUAAGGAAACACCAUUAUUGUAUAAAACCAAAAGAUUUUAUUUAAUACCUCAAUAUCAGUUUUUAAUAUUAAAUUAUUUAUAUUAUCUUUCACU